AGCAUAUCAAUAAGCGGAGGAAAAGAAACCAACAGGGAUUGCCUUAGUAACGGCGAGUGAAGCGGCAACAGCUCAAAUUUGAAAUCUGGCCUUCUGGUCCGAAUUGUAAUUUGUAGAGGAUGAUUUUGGUGCGGUACCUUCCGAGUUCCUUGGAACAGGACGCCUUAGAGGGUGAGAGCCCCGUACGGUUGGAUGCCUAGCCUUUGUAAAUCUCCUUCGACGAGUCGAGUAGUUUGGGAAUGCUGCUCUAAAUGGGAGGUAAAUUUCUUCUAAAGCUAAAUAUUGGCCAGAGACCGAUAGCGCACAAGUAGAGUGAUCGAAAGAUGAAAAGCACUUUGAAAAGAGGGUUAAAUAGCACGUGAAAUUGUUGAAAGGGAAGGAUUUAUGACCAGACUUUUUCUAGGCGGAUCAUCCGGUGUUCUCACCGGUGCACUUUGUCUAGUUUAGGCCAGCAUCGAUUUUCGGCAGCGGAUAAAAGCUUCAGGAAUGUGGCUCCUCCGGGAGUGUUAUAGCCUGUUGUAUAAUACGCCGCUGGGGAUCGAGGUACGCGCUUCUGCAAGGAUGCUGGCGUAAUGGUUAUCAAUCACCCGUCUUGAAACACGGACCAAGGAGUCGAACAUUUAUGCGAGUGUUUGGGUGUUAAACCCUCACGCGUAAUGAAAGUGAACGGAGGUGAGAGCCCUUACGGGUGCAUCAUCGACCGAUCCUGAUGUUUUCGGAUGGAUUUGAGUAAGAGCAUAACUGUUCGGACCCGAAAGAUGGUGAACUAUGCGUGGAUAGGGUGAAGCCAGAGGAAACUCUGGUGGAGGCUCGCAGCGGUUCUGACGUGCAAAUCGAUCGUCAAAUCUGCGCAUGGGGGCGAAAGACUAAUCGAACCCAUCUAGUAGCUGGGUACCGCCGAG
rnacentral:rRNA from 1 species